UUUGUGUUUCACAAUUGCAGCAAAGUCAUAUGGGUUCAGACCAACAUGAGGAUAAGUAAAUGACCACAGAAUGUUCAGAUUUGGGUGAGUGGGCUCAGCCAGGAUAGCAAGUAGCUGUUAUUUGGGUGGAGUCCUGUGCUUUCUCCAUUAACCAUUAAAGGAAGCAUCUCUGAACUGCAAUGCGGUGAGAAGGACAGCUGUGAUUUGCCAUUUCUGGUGAAUAAACAAACAGACUGAGAAUGUGGAUGGUGCCUACCUGCUCUGUGUCUGUUGCUGUUGCUGUGAGAGUGUAGCGUGCUUUGAAGUUUCCACCUGAGUGAAGGACUGCACACAAACUCCACUGGAUGUAGAGGCUGGAUUAGUUUACAACACUAAACGGGGGCAAAAUAUGUAUGACGAGGCUUCAGGAUGGAGUCGAUAGAAAAAAAAAAUAGAAGAGACAACUAAGGAAGACCCCAAUUACUGAUUACAGCUGGAGAGGAAUGCUAAAG